CAAAAAAAAAAAAUAAAAAAAUGGUAAGAAGCGUCGAAUCUGUUUUAUUUCGUGGUUCACCACAAGGGUUAAAGCACUUUCUGUCCCGAAUUGUUUCCUUUUCGCUGCAAGUUCUAACCACACGUUAUCACCAACGUGAUACAAUUAAUUGCAAUACCUCUAUUAAGUUACUGAUUUUUUUAAGCAUAUCCGUAAUGUUUAAUUUUUAUUAGUAUGUAUUAUUGUUUUAUAUGUAUUUGUUUGUACAAAAACGUAACAGGACUGUAUUGCUGGCUUACUUACAAAACAGAAUGGUUAGUGUAGUUUUGUGUAGAGAGGAUCCUGGUGGAAUUUAUCCACGUCUGGUCUUGUAGAGAUAAGUGCCUUUUUCAUACUAUAUUCAAUUGAUCUACAUGGAGCCCCAGAAAGCGAACUUCAACUCUUUGACCACAUCAUAAGCGAUAAGAUAGUAGCAGAUGCAGGACGAAUGAUGGAGAAAAACAUGAAGGUAGAUGCCCUUAUCCAAAGGGCAAACGCCGAAUAACCACGCUUACAGAUCAAACACUCCCCUCAAUCACAAAACUCAUCCAAGGUAGUCGGUAGUCGCCUCUGGUACUCUGUUGGAUCAGUACAAAACGGUUCCUCUGACUGUGGAAUCUACUGCAGCAUCGACAUUAGCACCAUCCGACUACCAGACCAUACCUCAACCUUUACCGCAGAAGCAAGGGCCCUGGUUAUUGCUGCUGAUGAAGGCCUAGACAGAGACAAAACCAACGUGAUCUUUACAGACAGUGCAAGUGUCCUACAAGCACUUGAAUCUGGAACUACCCGCGACUAGAACACGCAGUCGACUGGCCAACGCAGGAAGUAAUAACCCGGCCUGCUGCCAUAACACUCUUCCACGCGGUGAUUUCAUUCGCCUUAGCAAAACCAUCAUCGAUAAUAGCUGGAAUGGUUAUUGAUUUGGUAACGGCCGCUUUUUCCUGAGAACCAUCAAGACCACAACACCACCACGGAGAGACCAUCCAUCACACCAAGACCAGAGAAACCUAUCACGACUUCGGAUAGGACACACCCGGCUCACCUACACCAUUUUAUUACAAAAAUCAAGCCCACCACUCUGCAGUUUCUGUGGCGUUGACAUCACCGUCCGUCACAUCUUAACCGAAUGCCAUGGAUAUUCUGUGAAGCGCAUUACCUGCAAAUUGGACCACAGCAUCGACACCAUCCUCUCACAAGAUAGAGAUUACCAGCGUAAACUUUUAAAAUUCUUUCGUUUAACGUACCUUUAUAAAUAACCUUUUUAAUAAAAUCAACUGAUAAUA